AUUAUUAAGCAUUUCCUAACAGUUGUCUUUGUGUUUUACGUCAUCUUUAACAAGUUUCGUAGCUUAAUCGAAGUCACCUGAAGGACGGCUUUCCUCAGCAACGGCAAGGCCCGCACUCCUCUCAUAUUGUGAAGUUUAACAAGUUUCGCGGCUCAAGCAAGAGGCACCUGUCACUGAAGGACUGCUUUUCUCAGCAACGACGUGAACAGCAUUACUCGAAUUUCCUGGUUCAUCUGAUCUACCCGUCUUCGUACAAGCAGAGUUGGCAGAGGAUGUCAAAAAUCUACAUCCUUCGGGACAAUGAUGGGGCAGUCAGCAAUGUAGGAGUUGUGAUUGAGGGCAUCACUGUCCUCCGCAAUCUUGGGAAUCUCAGCAGAGCCUGCUGCUAUCUUUUGGGAGUCACGUAUGCAUUGUAUUUGAGAUAUCCCAAGACCCACAAAUACAGGUCCUUCUCAAAAAAUUAGCAUAUUGUGAUAAAGUUCAUUAUUUUCCAUAAUG